GAUGAAGAACGCAGCGAAAUGCGAUAACUAAUGUGAAUUGCAGAAUUCCGUGAAUCAUCGAGUCUUUGAACGCACAUUGCGCCCCCUGGUAUUCCGGGGGGCAUGCCUGUCCGAGCGUCAUUGCUGCCCAUCAAGCACGGCUUGUGUGUUGGGUCCUCGUCCCCCCCGGGGGACGUGCCCGAAAGGCAGCGGCGGCACCGCGUCCGGUCCUCGAGCGUAUGGGGCUUUGUCACCCGCUCUGCAGGCCCGGCCGGCGCUGGCCGACGCGAAAGCAACCAUUGUUUCUCCAGGUUGACCUCGGAUCAGGUAGGGAUACCCGCUGAACUUAAGCAUAUCAAUAAGCGGAGGA
rnacentral:misc_RNA from 1 species